rnacentral:rRNA from 1 species
GGAGCCCUACGGGGCGCAGCAGUGAGGAAUAUUGGUCAAUGGGCGCAAGCCUGAACCAGCCAAGUCGCGUGAGGGAUGACGGUCCUAUGGAUUGUAAACCUCUUUUGUCGGGGAGCAAGGCCCGCCACGUGUGGCGGGAAGGAGAGUACCCGAAGAAAAAGCAUCGGCUAACUCCGUGCCAGCAGCCGCGGUAAUACGGAGGAUGCGAGCGUUAUCCGGAUUUAUUGGGUUUAAAGGGUGCGUAGGCGGAAGGUUAAGUCAGCGGUCAAAUGUCGGGGCUCAAAACCGGGCUGCC